rnacentral:rRNA from 1 species
UACGUAGGGGGCAAGCGUUUUCCGGAAUUAUUGGGCGUAAAGCGCACGUAGGCGGCCUUGCAAGUCCCAUGUGAAAGCCCACGGCUUAACCGUGGAAGUGCAUGGGAAACUGCAGUGCUUGAGUACUUAAGAGGAUCGCGGAAUUCCCGGUGUAGAGGUGAAAUUCGUAGAUAUCGGGAGGAACACCAGUGGCGAAGGCGGCGAUCUGGGAAGAUACUGACGCUGAGGUGCGAAAGCGUGGGGAGCAAACAGG